rnacentral:rRNA from 1 species
CAUAUCACCCUGAAUGUACCUGAUCUCCUCUGAUCUCGGAAGGCGAGCAGGGUCAGGCCCUGGUUAGUAACUGGACAGGAGAAAUGAUAAAGCUUGUU